GGGAGUUAACACUUAAACUCUCUCUUGGAGUGUGGAAAGGAGGUGACAUCUUUUCUCUCUCUCCUCACUGUCUGAGGUAGAAGGAAAGGAGGGAAAAAUCUGAAGGAGAUAAGUGAUUUUUCUUUUCCAAAUUUGGAAACACUAGUGACUAUCUAUUGCUGUUACGUAAACUGUUUUUAUAUCUGAGAAGACCAAAGAAAGACCUGGUCUUUGGUUUGGAUUCUGAGUCUGCUAAGGCUGAGUCCUAACUUGGUUCUUGCUGAGGCUCAGCCAGCUGGCUUUUGUUAUUUUUAUAUUUUGGAGAUAAAGUUAAGAAUUAUAUACUUUGUAUAAGGAUAAUAGUGUUUAGUUUAUUGUAGAAUAGUGAAACUUUGGGUUAGUCAGAUCAGGAAGGAUCAGGGUAGCCAGUGGAAACAGGAGAAGUGGUUCUUUGUGGAACCAGGGAGUUUUAUUUGUGUGGAGUUAGAAUCCCUUAGAGUUAGAAAUCCUUUUUUUAUCCUUAUAUUCUAAAGAAAUAGUUUAUUUUUAUAUAACAAGAGUCUCCUUAGCAUCCUUGUACCUGCCCCUGAAGAGAAGUUUAAUUACGAACUUCACUUCAAUUAUACAAACUGAAGAUACUUUGUAAGCACAACAAGCAGAGUAUCAAAUCAGUUUACAAUCCAUAAUCAAUUUAUUGCUCAUUAUUUUUACUGUUUUCUGGUUAUUAUUUUUACAGCACUGACCCAGACGUAUAGGGGAAAAGGGGAAUUUGGGAAGGAAAAUACUAGUUCUGGCUUUGUUAUUAGAAGAUCUGGAUUUGAGUUAUGACUUUGACACUAAUAAUUCUAUAUCUGUUCCUCAGCUUCAACUUUCUCAUCUAUAAAAUGGGACAGUAUCUUUCUCAAAGGGUUGCUGUGAAGAAAGCUCUUUGUAAAACGUACAGUAACCCAGAAAUAUGAAUUUUAAUUCUCAAAGAAUAUGAAACAUAGUCCCUCCCGAUUAGUGAGUGGAUGGGUUGACUUCAUAAUUAAGCACUCUGGUGGAAUCCUCAAAGAAUAAGGAAAUGAACCUUUUAGAAUGAACUUUCACUUUUGAAUCUUUUCCCCCUAAGUAUGUUGUUUUAAACUUGAAACUUAAUGCUAGCAAAUCUUUGGCAAUGUGAGUUAAUGAUUGAAAGGCAUACCUAGUUAUUCAUUUCUUAAACGGCUGUUGCUUUAUAUUUUAGUAAAUAUGGAUGAACUGGGGAGAUAGAUAAAGAGCAUUUGUGAGAGCUUUAGUUAAAGAUUGUUGGGGACUGGCAUUCCGGAUGCUGGACAUUAACUAACUCUUCUUCUGCAAUUUGACCUUAAGCCAUUUUAUAUUGUAAUGAUGGUCUGUGUCUUUUGGCAUUGCUGAAACCUCCUCCAGAAUUUAGCUUCUGAUGCAAUUCCUCAUUCCUGGCUUUUUAAAGCCUCCAUUAAAUUGACUGUAUUUUAAUGCAUUCAUUGCAAAAAAGAAUAAAAAAGGUCAGCCAUGCUGUUUCACUUUAAAUAACCAUCCCAGCUGUUGGACUAUUAUGGUUAUCUUCCUACUGGCCCCACAGAAAGCUUAGAGAAAGUUUUGCUCUUUAGGCUAGAAUCUUGUGAAUAACUCAUAUAACUGAGAGGAAUAAAUCUUGAAUAGCCACAACCAGCAAGGGGGAGGGGAAAGAACCACAAGCUGUGUUGGGAAUAAAAUUUCCUUUCCUGGUCUCGUGGUCUCUUUGUCUCAGGAUGUCUCUUUUUCCUCAUUUCUCAUUUGGUUGCCAUUGCUUUGCCUUUCGAUCACACUGUCCACAGAGUGGCUUGUUUGUCGGUCAGGAGAUGGCAAAACAAGCUACAAUGUAAUGUUAAAUGGCCAGAUGGGUUGCUUUCAUAAAAUUUAUAACACUAGGAUAUUUACACCUGUCACAGCUGUCAUUUAUCACAGAUGAAUCAGACAGAAUCGCUCUUUGUGAGUUGUAGUCAGGGUUCUGUCACUCUCUAGCUCUGUGGGAAACCCUGAUUUUCUUCCUGGCAGUUUGGAGCAGAGUUAGGACUCUCACCUACUGAGAACUAGAGAUCUACUCACUCUAGUAAAUACAUUUUCUGUCCUUAUCAGUCCCUUUAGUUUGGCACCCAGCCCUCCUAUAUCAUCUCAGUUCACCUAAACUCUACCUCUCCACUAUUUGUAUCCUUCUUUGUCCUCUCAUUCCAUUAUAUUCCUUGGAAUCCUUACUCUGUUGACAAAUACAAAUUCAUUUUUACUCCUAUUGUUUUGCAAUCAGCCCAUCUUUUUUAUAGUAAAAAAAUUGAGACCUUUUAUCAUGAGCUACUCCCCUCUUCAUUUCACAUACCUCAGGCAUCUCUCACUAUUUCCUCUUUUACUUCAACUUCUGUUGAAGAGGUGGUCCUCUUUGUCUUUGACAGGGGCAACCACUUUAUUUGUACCUUUGAUCCCAUUCCAUCCUAUCUUUAUCACACUGUCCCCAUUACUAAACUUCCUUUUGCUCUAACAUUUAAUUUCUCCCUGUCUUCUGGUUCCUUUCUUUGAAUGAGAAAUUCUUCCGUAUUCUUAAAAAUGGUUCAUUAGAUCCUACCCUUUGUGAUAGCUAUCACUUUUCUUCUUCUUAGGUAAACUCCUUGAAUAAGAUGGUCUCCAUUUUCUCUCCUCUUACUUUAUUAAAAAACUUUUUGUUCUUUGGUUUCCAACUACAUCAUUCAAUUGAAACUUCUCUCUUCCAAGUUAUCAGAGAUCUCUUCAAUGAAAAAAAUAAUUUUCCUAAUCUUGAACUAUCUGCAGCAUUUGCCAAUGCUCAUCAACUGCUAUACCGAGAUAGUCUGUCCUCUAUGUUUUUUUCCUCAUGAAAACACUCUCUCCUGGUUCUUAUCCUACAUUUCCUAAUAUUUAUCAGUAUUCCUUGAUUCAUCUUUAUCCAUGUAUCCACUCACUAACUGUGGGUGCAUAUAUCACAAGGUUUUGUCCUAGGUCAAAUUUUCCCUCUCUACUCUCAUUUGUUGAACUCAUCAGCAAUAAUGAGUUCAGUUAUUAUCUCAAUAGAGAUGACUCCUAGAUUUCAUUAUUUCUAUGUAGAUGAUCCCUAGAUUUCCAUACCUAUCCCUUGUCUCUCUUUUAAGCUCCAAUCUGACUUCACCAAAUGAUAGUUGAACAUUUUAAAACUGGAUGUCACAAAGACAUCUGGAACUUGAAUUAUCCAAAAUGCAACUUGUUUUAUUUCCCUCCAAACUCAACAUUCUUCCAAAAAUAUAUGUUUUAUCAAGUGAACUACUAUCUGUUCAGUCACCCAGAUUCCCAAUUUUGGAUCUGUCUUUGAUUUUUCCCUCUUUCAAUCAUCAUAUUCAAUCAGAUACCAAAUCUAUGAUAUCAUGGGCAAAUCUUCAAUUAUAAAAUUAUGAUACAGUAUAGUCACAACAAAAACUAAUGAGGAAAAAUUAAUUAGCACAUAAUUAGUUAGGUGCUAAUUAAGUACUAAUUAGGUGCUAAUUAAUUAGCACUUGAUCAGAGAAAUAAUUGGGUUAUUGAUCCCAUUCCUAUUUUCAAAUUUUCAUUAUUUCUUUUUGAAAUUUCAGUCUUAUAUCUCCAAUCAUAUUAGAUAUUCUUUGAGGGCAGAGAAUACUUCUUGUAUUUUUUCCCCUCAGCAUCUGGCAUAGUGUUUGGCAUGUAGAAAUGACUGAAUAAAUGCUAUUGUUUUGAUUGAUUGACUACAUGAAAAUUAUUAUAAGAAUAGAUGAGAUUAUUUUCAUAACUGAGAAAUGAGAAAUGGAAAAAGAUAUUGAUUUUGGUUAUUGCCAUUUCCUAGUUAGGUAAACUAAAUUAAAGCAAACUUCACAACAAGAAUGACCAAAAUGACUUGAAAACAACUUAGGCAGUGGACAUAAUGUCCUUGCCAAGGAGCAAGAUGCACCAGUCCUUGGAUAGUACCAAUUUAGAAUAAAAAUUCAUUUAUAAAGCCCUUCAAAGGAGAACAAUAGAAGACCAUGAGAAAUAUUAAUUCAUAAAGCAGUGGACACCAUUUCAUAUGUGUUCUAAUAUUUUAAAGAACAAAUUUCAAAAGGUCCAGAGAAAUAGUAGAUGAGAACGUGGAGAACAAAAUUUUAUUGGUGAAGUCUGACCAUGUUGGAAUGAGAAGUUUUCCAGAAGGACAUCCUGAAUGUAUGAAAGUAAAUAAUUCCACUGAAGAGAAAAGAAGGAAAAUACCUAAGGAGACUGAUGUGGAUACACAGGAAACUCAUGGACUGACUUUAAUUUUGAAAUGAAAUUUACAAAAGAUGGAAUGAAGGGCAAAUAAUGGAAAAGUUAAUAUGUCACUCCUUAAGAAUAGUGUUGGGCUGACUCUCUGAAUAGACUUCAGCUGGCAAGGAAAGCUAAGAACAAUCCAAAGGUUUAUUUUUGUUUUUGUUUGUUUUUAGCUAUGUUAGAGAAAAGAGUAGGAUCAAAGGAGGAAUUGGACCCUGUUCAGGGUCGAUAGGAUCAUGUGUUAUCAAAGUCAUUCAACUGUUAUUUUACUUUGGUUUGUUUUUGGUUUUGUUUUUUUCCUUUUCUGUCUGAGAAAGAGAAAUAACCUUUGGAUUGGAAAUGGAUAAAACAGAAGCAUCUAAUGGGAGGUUGAGGCUCAAGAUAAGUCAGGAGCUAUCAAAAGAGCAUUAUCUGGCCCAAAUAAACUAUAUUCUCAGGUACAGAGAAAAAAAAAUCACACACUGCAUUACUGAGGCAAAGUUAGGGAUCCUUUAGAGAUCAUAGGAUAGGUAAAGUGCUGCAGAAUUGGAGGACAAUGUUAUCCUGAUUUUCAUUUACAAAGAGGAGAGACUAGAGGCUAUAAACUAUUAGACAGUGAGUCUGACUUUGUCUUUUAGAGAAAGUAUUAUUAAAGGAGCAGUCAGUGGAUCUCUAGAAAAGAAAGCAGCAAUCACAAAAACCUGAUGUGGCUUUAUCAAACAUAGUCUUACUUGAGCUCCAUUCUGACAUCUGGACCAACUGCCAUAAUUGUCACAAAGACACCUCAAACUCAACAUAUCCAAAAGGCAGCUUGUUAUAGUUUAAUGCCAUUUCCUUUUCAGCAAGAUUAUUAGACUGAUAAUAGAUCAGACCAACACAAAAGAUGCCAUUUACUUAGAUUUUAAUGAAGUAUCUGACAAAGGCUAUUCUAGUGAAGAAGAUGGAGAAAGAAGUGGAGAAGAUGAAAAAAUGAGGACAGAACUCUAGCACAGAAAGAAUAUGACUUGGGCAUUGGACUCUGAAAUGGGUCUGCCUGCGUUUGUGUACAUGCAUGUACUUUUACCUGGAAGGAAGCAUUCCCAUGUAACAUCCCAAAGAUACAUGUGUAUCUUAGAAUCAAUAUUAAGAAUUUGUUCCAAGGCAGAAGAGCAGUGAAGGCUGGACCAGUGAAGUUAAGUGACUUACCCAGAGUCACAAUCUAGGAAGUGUCUGAGGCCAUAUUUGAACACAGCAUCUCUCUAUAUCCACUGAACUACUUAGCUGCCCCCAGAGUUGUUUAUUUUUAUAGUGUUGCCACUGUAUAAAUUGUUCUAGUUUUGCUUAUCUUAGUCAUGAUCAGUUUUUAAAAGUUCUCCAAACUGCAUAUUUAAAAAUAUUGCUGUUUAGUAUAGACACUGUUCCUCUGGUUUUGCUCAUUUCACUCAGCAUCAGUUCAUAUAGUACUUCUGUGACUCUUUGAAAUUAUCUAAUACUUCAUUUCUUAUAGUACAAUAUUUACUCCAUUGCAUUCAGAAACCAUGACUCACUCAGUGCUUUCUCAAUUGUUGGAAAUACUCAUAGUUUCAGUUUUAUUUUGCCAUCACAAAAAGAAGAGCUAAAUAUACAGAUAUACAAAUAUAUAUAUUUAUACAUAUAAACAUAUAUACAUAUACAUACACACAACACACAACACACACAUAUAUAUGUGUAUAUAUAUAUAUACACAUAUAUAUAUAUACAUACUUAAAAUACAAAUGACCUUUUCUUCUUUCUUUUGUCUCUUUUCUUUAGGGCAUACAACUUUUUUGUGUGAAAUUCCAAAUUGCUUUCCAGAAUGAUGGUACUCAUAUACAGAUCAAAGUCUUGCUUAAUUUGAGGAUCAAUUCAUAACUUAGCUGCCAAAACUUAUCCCCAACUAACAGGAGCAAAUGGUGCUGCAUUGUUGACAUGGGAUAGACUCCCUUGGGUCCUUCCAUCACUUGAUUCUUCCCAAAUUUGACUGGAUGUUUAAACCGCUGGAGAAUAUGUACUAUAGAAAGCAGGGUUACUUAACCAGGCUCUUACAUCUCUAUUUUCUGCAGUCCCAUGAAUGGCUGGUAACAUGAGCAGAAAUGAGAUACUAGAGUGGAUUGCUAUUCUCCAACUCGUUUUACAGAUAAGGAAACUGAGGCAAACAAGGUUAAGUGACUUGCCCAGGGUCACACAGUCAAUGCUGAGGCCAGAUUUGGACUCCAUCCCCUUUGCCAUGAGAAUUCCCUGAUGGUAUCUUUUACUCCUCUGUGUCUUUGAAUUUUGUAAUUGGUGAAAUGAUGCCAUUUAAAGCCAGCUCACAUUACGUUAAAUAUUCUGUCAACAGGAAUUUCUUGAAUAUCUUAUCUCCAUGAACUCAAAUCUCUAAAAUAGUCUUUUUAAAAUAUUUCACUGGAUGCUUUCAUGCCAGAAGGAACCAAGACCAUUACAAUAUUAAGAAAGACAGGAGUUCCACUGCAAGGAGGGCUGAGGCUUAAUAACCAGGGAACUGAAGAAGAGAGGAAGGAAGAAGAGGGCAGCAGUGAUACCAAUCUGAAAGAAGAGCAGUCACAGGGACGAACUUGUGAAGAGGGGUCAGCAUGCUGGUCUUUAUCCUACCAACUGCCAGGAACCAAGGUUGAUAGCGGUGGCUAGCUCUGGCAUGAUCUUCAAAGGGUAGGUUAUAUAUGCCCAAAGGUAUUUAAAAGACUGUCUGCCCUUUCAUCCAGGCAUACAACUACUGGGUUUGUACCCCAAAGAGAUAAUAAGCAAAGCACAAAAAUAUUCAUAGCUGUGCUCUUUGUGAUGGCAAAAAACUGGAAAAUGAGGGGAUUCCCUUCAAUUGGGAAAUGGCUGAACAAAUUGUGGCAUCUGAUGGUGAUAGAAUAAUAUUGUGCUAAAAGGAAUGAUGAACUGGAGGAAUUCCAUGUGAACUGGAACGAUUUCUAGGAACUGAAGAAGAGUGAAAGGAGCAGAACCAGGAGAACAUUAUACACAGAGAUUGAUAGACUGGUACAAUUGAAUGUAAUGGACUUCUCUACUAGCAGCAAUGCAAUGAUCCAGGACAAUUCUGAGGGAUGUGGGAGAAAGAACACUAUCCACGUCCACAGAAAGAACUGUGGGAGCAGAAACACAGAAGAAAAACUUCCUGAUCACAUGGGUUGAUGGAGAUAUGAUUGGGGACAUAGACUCUAGACAAUCACCCUAGUGCAAAUAUCAAUAAUAUGGAAAUUGGUCUUGAUCAAUGACAUAAGUAAGACCCAGUGGAAUUGCUCAUUGGCUAUGGGAUGGGGGUGGGAGGAGGGAAGGGAAAGAACAUGAAUCAUGUAACCAUGGAGAAAUAUUCUAAAUUAAUUAAAUACAUAAAUAAACUCAAUUUAAAAAAUUUGUAGGUUCCAGGUUCUAAUUGCAGCAUUGGAGACAGGAUAAGGACAAGGUUUUUGGACCAAGGGGCCAAGGAAAUGGUGGGAAAUUAAUGAGUUGGAGGAGGUCAUUUGGGGGAUUGCUGCUGAGGUGGACUCUGUUUAAGGAACUUCUGCUUUGAAGAAGACUGUCUCAGAGGAAAUGGGGAAUGGUCCCACUGGACCUAGCAGCCUCAAAUGGAGCAGCCCAGUGGAGAGAGGCUUGAGACAUGAGACAUGAUAGAAGGUCAGUUCUGGUCGAAGAUCACCCCAAUGGUGGAAUUUCCAUUCCCUGGUCCAAGCCCAAUGGAAUGGUUCCUUUGCCAUGACCUUUUCACAACAGUGCCAACUUACAGCUUCCCCACAAUCCAACUACACUUAUAGCGGGACAUGAAUUUCCACCAGCUCAGGCAGAGGACAACAUCUCAUACUUUGGUUCCUCUUUGUCUUCUUCAAUGUCAUUCGCUAGAUACAGGGCUAAGAAAAGGUUGCUGUGGGUGACUUCAUCAAUUAAAAAAAAUGCACAUCCUGUGUAUUUGCAUGUUAUGUAAUAUGGUGCUAAUUAUCAUGCCCAAAAAGAGAAAAGAGAAAGAAUGAGAUGAAGGUAUCUAAUCAAAGCCAAUAGGGACUUACUUCAGUCGACUGAGUAGGGACUGACGUGGUCAGACCUGAAAGACUUUGGGAAAGUCACCUUGGCAGCUGGGUGGAGGAGGUAUAAGAGGGGGGAGAGUCUGGGUGAGAGACACUGAGAGCCAGAACUUUAGGGUGUAGUGGGUGUGGGAGGAGAGACGAGAGGGAAGAUUUCAGAGAUGUUGUCAGGAGAGCUAUGACAAGAUUUGGCUCUAUGGGGAGAGAAGCAGCAAAGAAUCUGAAGUUGUAACUGAAGUUUUGAAUCUAGAUAACGUGAAAUAAUAAUGCUAACCUUGACUCUAAGAGGAAAGUUCAGGGAAAAAAUGGGGAGAAAGAUGUCAUUAGAUCUGUGAUCUGUUAUAACUUCUUCAUGCCUAUCCCACCCAACAGAAAAGGUGGGGAGGUAGAAAUCUUAUACAACCAUCAUAACCCGGGAGGGAACAGCAUGACCUGUGAGAGGGCAUCUGCCAUGCCCACAAUGCCCUUUGGGGGGCAAGAGGCAUGUUUAAAGGGGGAAAACUGGGCAAGAUCUGAGCAAGAUCUGACUUUAAUAUAAGGGCUUCAGAUUAAAACCAGAGUCCACAGACGAACCCAAUUUGGUCUGAAAUCUUGUUUUUAGCUACUAUAGAUUUUAUAAGCACAGACAAUGACCCAAUGGGGUAAUGAAUUGAGCCAGGAGUUUUGAACAGGUGUUCUGAAAUCGAUUUCGGGAAUAGAUUCCAGUAAUAGAGGUUAUGACCAGGGCAUCCCCCCUUUUCUCCUUCCCCUUCUUGGGUGACUGCAUCAUAAAGCGACAGGGCUGGAAACCUGCUUUCCUCAUGUUAUAACCUCAGAACAUGUAGCAAAGGAGGAAGAAAUGUACACAAUUGUACUUUCAUCUUUGCAGAGGUUUUUAAUCCUACAUUUUACUUAAGCAUGUUUGUUUCUCUCUGAGCUGAUCUGGAUUGAUGAUCGUACUCUCUUAAAAUCAGACGGAAGAAAAAAUUACCUUCUCUCAAAGUCAUGUAUCAAGGGUGCCUUUCACUGAGACUUGUAGUGAGUCAUUAUUCACUUUAACAAUCCAGAAUGACAUGGCAGCAACAGCAGGAACAGCAGCAGAUGGCAAAAUACCUCUGGACCACCUGGGUUACACAUUAAACUUCAUAGGAUUUUAAUAUUGCUACAAUGGACACAGAAAAGAAUUUGGUUCUCAUUCUGUAAAUUCAUGGACUUAUCAAUGAAAUCCUGAGUUUCUAGUGGAAUACAUGACUCGUUGCUAGUGUAGGUUCAGCAUCCUUUAGUUGCCAGGAUUCUGUGAAGUAGUAGCAUUUUCCUUACUCCAUCAUUUCAAUCUCUCUUCCUGGAAGUGGAUGACCAAAGCUCUCUUGUUCCACUUAAUACUCAGCUCUAUUUCUAGAUUCUCUUGCUGCAUCUGCUGCCUGGAGGUUUUGUCUCUCUUGUGUGUGCUAUUCCAAGAUCUAAUCCAAAACUUCUUUGGUCAUCACUUUUUAUAAUGGUUAUUUCAGAUUUCUUUCUUUUUUAAAAAGCCCUUACCUUCCAUCUUAGGUAGGAUAUAUAUUAAGGAUCAUUUUCCAGGGCAGAGAAGUGGCAAGGGCUGGGCAAUUGGGGUUAAAUGACUUGCCUAGGGGAACAUGGCUAACAAGUGUCAAGCCAAAUUUGAAUCCAGGAACUCCUGUCUGCAUACCUAACUCUAUCCACUGAGCCACUUAGCUGCCCCAUUAGUUUCUUUUGUACCAAAGAUUAUGCAAAGUGAGAAAGGGAAGAAAGAGAUUAUUUUUAUUCGCUUUAAUACUUAUUUACAUCAAACAUUUAAAAAAAACAGUAACAAGAUACAUAUAUUUUUAAUAACUAGACCUUCAGUUAGUCUGUCAACAGUUUCUUAAGUGCUUACUAUAUUCCAGAAACAAUAUCAAAGGCUAGAGAUGCAAAGACAAAGCAAACACCUCUCCCCCCCAAAAAAAAUCAGAUCCUUCCCCUCAAGGAGCUUAUAUUUGAUGGAUUAUUGUUUAUUCUGUUAUAGACGCAUCAUGACAAAUUUCUAAUUUAAACAUGUGUAAAUUAAUUCCUUAGCAUACAUUUAGUUCAGGAAUUUCCAAACAAAUAAGCCUUUACAUGACAUUUAGUCCAUUAAAAAGUCUGUGACAAAUUAUAUUGGAUAGAAGGCAUGACCUGCAGUGUUUGGCUAAAACAAAGAUUUGAUUAUGUCUUAAAAAAAAAGUUCAACAACAUCUUUAGAAAGGAACUUUCUUAAUAAACUGGCUCUUACUCUGGCGCUCUUCUGUUUCCCCAUGCAUUUCAUUUAGAAUUAGAGUGGGAAAAUGACCAGAGUUGUAGACAAACCAGCUGUAGACUAUUCCCAGUCAAAUCCAAUGAAAGAAACCUUGUUUGGUAAAGUAGAAAUUGCACCAAGGUGCCCAUCUCUGCUUUUCAGAUACUGGUAGAGAGAAUAUUUUUGAUAAAUCUUAGAAAAUUAGCCCCAGUGAAUAACGUGCUCAUCUGAAAUGAAUCUCCUUGUUACAAAUUGGGACUCCUCAAAAAAGAUUCUGCCUUGACUUCCAAAACUACAUUCAAAGAGUAGAGGGCAUUUUCACUUAUUUUCACUCAGGGCCAUGUGGCAGACUUUAUGUAGUCUUCUCUUUAGAUAUCCUUGAAUGAACACAAAAGCCAUUUUAAAAUAACUAUUUUUGUAGAAAAUUUCAAACUAUCUAAGAAAGCAAUUGCUUCCUUUUUUAUCACUGAACUGCACAAAUAGCUUCCUAUGCACUUUGAACUAUGGGAUUUGUCCUAAAUUAAUAGUAUACAAGUCUCAAGUUCUCAGAAUUUAGCAAAAGUCACUUUUCUUUUUCUCUUCUGUACUCUAGGUGUGCCACACCAUAAUUCCAAAGAAAAUGAGAAAUGCAGAGGGGGGAAAAACAGCUAGGUGGGUAUGAUAAUGCGCUUUACAAUCUCUAGGUAAGAAGCAACUCACACUUGUAACAGAACAAUUGAGAGGGCACCAAAGAAGACCAUAUAGGUAAAUUAAGACUUUUGAGGCCAGUGGAAGAAAGAUAAGGAUAUCUUAAAAAAUUCCAAGGUAAUACUGGUCAAAAGGGUUAAAAGGAACAUGAUGAAUUUUACAAAUAUAAAAAAGGAGAAAUGAGUACUAGACAGAAAUGCUACCACUGCCUAGCAAUUUCAGAGAGCUUUUCAUCUUCAAAGAAUCUCACAUGUUAACUAAUUAAUCCUUCCAACACCCUUGUGUUGGUAGAAGUGACAAACAGGAAGAGAAAUCAGUUUAAAAUGACUGAGCCACUGAGUAGAAGGGUUGAAGAAGAAAUAUAAAGAAAGCCUAUAGACAAAUAAAGGAAGGUCCUAACUAUAAAUGAAAGGCAUAUUGAAAUAUAUUAUCUGGCUUUAUUUCUUGCCAUUAAAAUAAAGCAUCAGGCUAAAGGAGUAUAUUUUAAAUUGUCUCUGGAUUCUCUAAACUGACUAAAAUGAUUAGGAAGGUCUAGUGUGGGAGACUUAUCCAAUCAAUAGGUGAAUUCAUUAUUAAAUAAAUUAUAACUAUUCAAAAUUUACUUCAGAAUUCUCCAAUAAUCCAAAAUGAAGU